CCGAAAUUCUAUAAAACCAGAAGCUAUCUAGACUUUAAUUCAACAUAUAUCUUGAUAGAGACACUUCGUCACAUCGAGCUACGAGAAAGAAUAUCAUCAUCUUACAGAAUUCUACUCGAACACCGCAUCGAAAUCAGACUUUAAAAAUGGCGUCAAAAACCAUGAUUUCUCUCUACUUUCUGAUUGCAUUGGCCGUGGUAGCAAGUGUUUUAGUCGAGGAAGAUGAGAUCGACAAUUCCAAUGCGUUGAGUGUAGAGGAGCAACAAGACAUAGAGGAAUAUUGUAAGCAGCUAAGACAGUCAGGCGGUAGUGUCUCACAAUAUCAGACAUUGUGCGUUGCUAACGGGUAAUAAACGCAUCGAGAAUUUCGAGAGGCAUACUAACUGCAUCUUUUCCAUUUGCCUGGCGUCAGACGUCUUCUCUGUCUGUUGAGAGUUUUGUCAAAUUGAUACAAGAAAAAAAAUAAUCCUCGAUGAUCAGUUAUCACUGACCUUAAUCCUAACCCGAACGAACUCAUAACCUUACCUCUAAAAUAUUUUUUUUAAAUCAAUAAAAUAUAUAUAAUCCAUUUUGAAUCUCGUUUCAAAAGUAAAGUAUCAAUAUGCCUACAUGUAGCCCAAUAUAGUUUUGUGUUGACAACUGUAAAGGUUAGUCAAUUCACUGGAAAUUUGAUUGUUUGAAAUAAUGCAUUGAAGAGUACAAUCUUGUACAUGUGCUUCAUUAUUAUGUACAGAAACAAGUGCAAAGGAAACUUGUAAUCAUUGGAGCCUGCCGUUCGUACCGUCAAGUCACCACUCACCACAUAAACAUUGAUAGAAAUCAAUGAUCUAAACAGUAUGUUUCGAUUGUAAAUUUUCAAAUUUUUAAUCAGCUGCUUUAUUCUUUGACACAUUGUGCACAAAACGGUCUUAUUAAAUGGAAUGACGUAAUAA